rnacentral:rRNA from 1 species
ACGCCGUAAACUAAUGCUCGCUAGGUGUCAGGCAUGGCGCGACCGUGUCUGGUGCCGCAGGAAGCCGUGAAGCGUGCCGCCUGGGAAGUACGGUCGCAAGGCUGAAACUUAAAGGAAUUGGCGGGGGGAGGCACCACAACGGGUGGAGCCUGCGGUUUAAUUGGACUCAACGCCGGGAAGCUCACCGGAUAAGACAGCGGAAUGAUUGCCGGGCUGAAGACUCUGCAUGACUAGCUGAGAGGUGGUGCAUGGCGUAGACGUCU